rnacentral:rRNA from 1 species
UACGUAGGUGGCGAGCGUUGUCCGGAAUUACUGGGCGUAAAGGGCGCGUAGGCGGUUUUUUAAGUAGAUGUGAAAACCCAGGGCUUAACUUUGGGCGUGCAUUUAAAACUGGAGAGCUUGAGUGCAGGAGAGGUAAGUGGAAUUCCUAGUGUAGCGGUGAAAUGCGUAGAUAUCGGGAGGAACACCAGUGGCGAAGGCGGCUUCCUGGCACAAUACUGACGCUCAUGUGCGAAAGCUAGGGCAGCGAACGGGAUUAGAUACCCGCGUAGUCCCU